UGGAAAUCAUUGCCCAA
rnacentral:piRNA from 1 species